AUUAAACGCUGGCGGCAUGCCUUACACAUGCAAGUCGAACGGCAGCACGGGGGCAACCCUGGUGGCGAGUGGCGGACGGGUGAGUAAAGCAUCGGAACGUAUCCUGGAGUGGGGGAUAACGUAGCGAAAGUUGCGCUAAUACCGCAUAUUCUGUGAGCAGGAAAGCAGGGGACCGCAAGGCCUUGCGCUCUUUGAGCGGCCGAUGUCAGAUUAGCUAGUUGGUGAGGUAAAGGCUUACCAAGGCGACGAUCUGUAGCGGGUCUGAGAGGAUGAUCCGCCACACUGGAACUGAGACACGGUCCAGACUCCUACGGGAGGCAGCAGUGGGGAAUUUUUGGACAAAUGGGGGCAACCCUGAUCCAGCCAUGCCGCGUGAGUGAAGAAGGCC
rnacentral:rRNA from 1 species